rfam:Capsicum annuum cultivar Zunla-1 chromosome 8, whole genome shotgun sequence
UGAAGAAUAGCCUGUCAAUAUAGCCAGGAUAACUGCCUAGCAUAGCAACCCCAAAAGGGAAAUUAAGAAAUGAUACCCUUGUGGGGGAAGGGUUUGUAGGCAAGUCAUCCUUGGCUAAUAAACAGACUCUUCACU